AACUUUGCGCUUGUGGUAAUGACACAGGCAAUGGGGUCUUAGCCGAGUCGCAUCUAUUGCUGGUUAAAAACUUUUUCCAAACCACCUCAAAGGCCUGGCCUCGCACCUGGCCUUAGAGAGUUUCUGGAAGGGGAGCCCUACU